UACAGAGCUAAGGGGACAUUAUAGAUGAGAUUAUAUAUUUCAGUGCUUUUGUGUUCAUUCUCAAAACAGUUUGAAAGUAUUUAGGGCCCCUAUAAUGUUUCUCAAUAAUGUGCUUGUGUUUCUGUUUUUCAUUGUCAGGUUCAGGUCAGAAUUUUGUCUUCAAAAUUGUCAGUUUUCUUCUGGCAGCUUGUCCGUAUCUGCUGUCUACAGUCGUGCUGCUGUUCAAAUGCUACAGAGCGAGAGUUACAUCUGCUGAAGGCCAAAUUCAGUAUGCUGUAACAGAGUGAUAUACCAUUGAUCAAGUUAAGUAUUUAACCUCUUAGAUUUGAGUUGAUUUAAUGAAGUUAUUAAUUUAUAAUAUCUUAGUAGUUAGCUGAGUUUCUCUCUGAGAAACUGCACUCAUUAUCUGUAUGCCUUGGAAAAUACCUGAUAAGAGAACAAAUCUGAGCCACUCAACCUUGAAGCAAUUGUGUACUCUCUAUGUGUGUGAAUAACUGACUCCAGGACAGAAUGGACGUUGUCAGACAAUGUGACGCAAGAAGUGCUGAUAUAUGCUCUCGGUGGGUCACAUCGAUCCUAAGACCAGAUCUCGGCUGUCACCUAAUAAUCACCGGAGAUAUGGUUUGAACUGUAUGUCCAUGAGUGGAGUUUAUGUUUUAUCCACCUAGAAGCCUUUUUUAUCUAAGUAAUGAUGUAGUUAGUGACUGUUAGAGUAUAAUUGCUGUUGUAUUGAGAGUGUACGCAGAGCGGCCUAUGAACUCCAUCGAGAGUGUUGAAGCUGACUUCUGCUGAUGAAACUGCAAACUAUUUUUCUUCAGUAAAUUUUUCUUCAAUUGAUUCCA